GAAAUGCGAUAAGUAAUGUGAAUUGCAGAAUUCAGUGAAUCAUCGAAUCUUUGAACGCACAUUGCGCCCCUCGGUAUUCCGUGGGGCAUGCCUGUUCGAGCGUCAUUAUCACCCUCAAGCUCUGCUUGGUGUUGGGCGUCUGUCCCGCCUCGGUGUGCGGACUCGCCCCAAAGCUAUUGGCAGCGGUCGUGCCAGCUCCUAGCGCAGCACAUUUGCGCUUCCUGAAGCUAUGGCGGAUCAGCAUCCAGCAAGCCCUCUAUAGUUUGACCUCGGAUCAGGUAGGGAUACCCGCUGAACUUAA
rnacentral:misc_RNA from 1 species